rnacentral:rRNA from 2 species
UGGGGAAUAUUGGGCAAUGGGCGCAAGCCUGACCCAGCAACGCCGCGUGAAGGAUGAAGGUUUUCGGAUUGUAAACUUCUUUUAAGAGGGACGAUAAUGACGGUACCUCUUGAAUAAGCCCCGGCUAACUACGUGCCAGCAGCCGCGGUAAUACGUAGGGGGCAAGCGUUAUCCGGAUUUACUGGGUGUAAAGGGCGUGUAGGCGGGAUUUCAAGUCAGAUGUGAAAACCGAAGGCUCAACCUUCGGCCUGCAUUUGAAACUGAAGUUCUUGAGUGCUGGAGAGGCUAACGGAAUUCCUAGUGUAGCGGUGAAAUGCGUAGAUAUUAGGAAGAACACCAGUGGCGAAGGCGGUUAGCUGGACAGUAACUGACGCUGAGGCGCGAAAGCGUGGGGAGCAAACAGG